CCAUAUUCACAGCCGCUCACAAAAAACCAGCAGCAGCUGCUCCUCUGUCAAAAUGAGUAUAUGAAAUCUCAUGAUUUCACCCCUAAAACAACAUCAUUAUGCCAAAUGCCGAUACACACUUUGUUCUUUGUAAUGCUCCGAUUGUCAUUCAUUUGGGCGAUAAAGAUAAGCAAUCAGUUCGUUGUUGCUUUUUGACAAAUUAGCGAAAUCUUCGAUCGUGAUUUCCCUGUUUAAAUAGCUCCUCCUAUAUACUCUAUACUCUACUUCCAUGAAAAGGUAUUAUUCGUACUUAUUAUUUUUCAAUUCUGCUUAUUUUGUUUAAUUGUUUAAUAUAUCUAGACUCGGCAAAUGGGCGGGCUGGUAUGGACGUGUUGUUGUAGGUCGGCGAUCAUAAACGAAAAUGGGUAGAUGGGCAAACCAAUAUAUCAAAUUUGAGUUUAAGUAUAAAUUAAUAAAUUAAUGUUUAUAUAAAUUCCUGUAAAAUUUUAGUAAAAAAUUUUUCCUCUUGAAUUUGAUGUUAAAGUUAAUUUUGCCUAUGUUGUUCAAACUUCUUUUCUGUUUACUUUUCCUUCUUAAUUAAAUCCUUUACAUUUACAAAAAGAGAUAUUCCUAGGGCAGCAGCUCAUUUAUAUGCUUAAACAUUAGUCAGUACUCUAUUUUUAAUUUUAGACUAAAAGACAAUUUGCACCCCAAACUUUACACAAUUGUUGAUUUUGCACCCUAAACUGAAAAAGGUGUCUAAGUACACACCAAACUUUAGUUAUACAUAACAAAAUGCACACUUUAUUCAAUUAGCAGUUUAAAAGUGACCGACUAAGCCUGUAAUGCUUAUUACAUAGGGGUAAUUUUGAUAGUUUACAUUACAUGCACUUUUUCCGUGCCUCUUUCUUCAUCGUCUCUCCCUCUUUGACUCUAUUCCACUCACCAUUAUUUUGGUAACCCCUCUCCCAUUCUCUCUCUCAAGUGGUCACCUUUCACUCCAUCUACAAAUCGUUUAUUCCCACAAUUGCCUGCCCUGAACCGAAAUCAGGGUCAGCUUCUUGAUGGUGCCAUACCAGAGCACUUUCCUUCUGCUCUAUGGACGAGCCAUCAGUGGCCUCUGUAUAGUGCACCAUUACAGGUAGUGCCAUCUUUUUCCACUCAAAAUCCACCGCAGACACACUGGACUCCCAUGGGGAAUCCCCAGUCUACCUAAUAACAACAGAAACAAUUAGAUAGAAGAAUGACCAAUAUAAAGAGAACAUAAAACACCACAAUAGAACAAGGCAAUGCUUUUCUAUGUUUCCAAUAACAAGAACAGACAAUGUUACCUAGUAAAGUAACCAUGAUAGACCAAGCUUCCCUCAGGGAGAAAACCACUUGCUUAAAGAUUCCUUUCCUCUGCCACACACAAUAAACACCACAUUUUGUGAAUCACUGCAUAAACCAUUUAGUACCGAGAUAACUUCACUGCUUGGAGUUUUGUCCACUGAACCCUGUGGCAUCACUGUACCAUCAUAAUCCAAAAGAAUAAGACGGCUAUUAGUCUUAUUAUAAGCUGAAACAAUGUGUCCCACGGACAGUUUCCUGAAAUUAGGACCCAAAGCAACAACUCUGAAACCCAAACCAAACCCAAUUCCCCAACACCUCUUGAUGUAAUGCUCUCUACAAGCUCUCUCAAGGUCUUGAUCGAAACUCCUAGCUCAGUCAGCAACAUCAUGAGAACUAACAUACUUGUAAUGCUUCUCAUGGCGCAGUUGUUUCUCAGACUCUGGCAUUGUAACAGCCAAAGUCAUUGUCUCAGAGACACUAUCGAUAUUCCAGGGAUUAACCCGGAUUGCACCACUGAGGGAUGGAGAGCAACCAAUGAAUUCUGAGACAAUAAUCACACUCUUCCUCGAAAAUUCAUGUCCAUCAAGUCCCAAAGGCCUUAUCUAAUUCUGGGCUACCCUGCCUCGACACAAUGUACUUGUAGGGGACCAAAUUCAUCCCAUCCCUCACAUCAUUCACCACAACACACUCAGAAGUAAGCACCCUUGUCUUGAGUUGAAAAGGACCAUUGACAAAAACAAUAGGCUCAUAACCAGAAUAGCCAUACUUCUGAUUAACCUCACUGGCAACUUUAUUCGUCUCAUUUUGAACCUCUUGAAUAUCCUGACCCUGGCUUCUCGCUGGGUUCACAAUCUGUACCAAAACCACCCUUCCCCUCAAUUCAGGGUGCUCUUUCAAAAGCUGGCGCAUAGCUAAAAACUUCAACUAAUACCCUUGAACAUAUCCAUAUCAUCAACACCCAACAUCAUAAUUUUCCCUUCAUUCUUUUCCUUCAAUUCUUGUACCUUCUUCCCAGUAUCAGGCAAUGAUUUGACCGAUUCAAUUUGAUCCAUAUGAAUACCAAAAGGUAGAAUCUUGAUACUCACAGUUCUACCAUAAUACUCGAGUCCAAUGUAACCCCUUUUGGAUCGGAAAUCCAAACCCAACAAUCUACGACAAUAUGACAAGAUGUCUUGCAUAAUCAAAUGUAUGGAACCUAAUAAGAUCACAAUUCAACAGAGCCCGAAGAAUCUCGUCUCGCACGGGCAACGUUCGAUAAAUUUUCAAGGAGGGAAAUAGACUAUGCAAGAAAAACCCAAGUCUAACUCUAUGAUAUCUUUUUUCUCAAGAAAGUUGGCAAUACCAUGAGGUGAUAAUCAUGUACCCAAACAUAAUCCUCAUCUGGGUUGAUAACCUCCAUUAUUUUAUCGGCGAAGAUCUUAUUCACCGAUACAUAAGCCUGCCACAUAGACCGCUCAAACCGGACCCCGUGAUGUGAAGUCAGAGGCAACAUGUAAUGAAACAGAGGCCACAAAUAAUGCUUACAAAACCCAUGAUAAAAUUUGUUCUGUAUAUCUGAUGGAAGAAAAGUAGGCACACAAUGAAACUUAUCUAGCAAGAAUUGGCCCACUUCUUCUUGCUCUUCGGGGUCGAUCUCCACCGCUAAUGAUCCGACAAAUAUAACUUCAAUGUCCGAGACGAACCCAUCUUUGAGCUGCAAAACCACAACAUCUUUAUCCCAAUCAUAACACCAUUUCUUGGUUUCAGUAUCGCGGUGAGCUUUUACCGGCAACUGGUUGGCGACAAUGAUUCUUCGUUCUUGCCUGACUGAUGAAACGACAUCGGACUUAUCAUCAGUCAUAUGAUUAUCACCAUUGUUGUUCUUGGAGAAAUUCUCAUCAUAGGCUUCUCCUCCCUCAUCAUGAUGUCUUCUGAAUCCCUCAAGGAUCGUGAGUUCCACUUCUCCUUCAGAUCGCGAACCCUAGCCCAAUUGAUUUGUGGAUAUUUGUUUGAUAACCAACAUGAGUAAAUAUCCGGUGCAAUUUGCAAUAAAUGUAAAUUACCAAACUUACUCCUCUGUAAUAAAUAUUACAGCCUUAGCCGGUCACUUUUGACCGGUUAACUGACGAAAGUGUGCUUUCUGUUACGUUUAAUUGAAGUUUGGGGUGUACUUAGAUACCUUUUUCAAUUUGGGGUGCAAAAGUCAACACGAGUGUAAAGUUUGGGGUGCAAAUUGUCUUUUAGUUUUAAUUUUAAAACAGAGGUGAAAAGAAGACUACCAAUGAUAACCCACAUCCAUCAAUAUAGUAUAAAAGAAGAGUCUUUUUCUAAGAUGGAAGGAUUAUAAUAUUCUAUUUAGUUCCUUUAAAUUAGUAUUAGCCAGUUACUUAAGUAUCUCAGGUGCAGUGUAUAUGAAUAAGUUUGAAUCAGAGUUUAACAUAGAUAUGCAUGAUGGAAUAAUGAUUAAUUAUCAUAUUAUAUAUUCUGUAUUGUAUUGGGUUCAUGUGUACCUCAUAAUUUUGUUUGAAAAGAAUGGACAUACCUGAAAGGAUGUGGUGCACAAAAUAAGUGGUCUUUCCAUACAUGAAACGUUUACUGUAAAUGUGACUAUUAAUUGUGAUUUUCUUUGUCUACACCUAGCCUAAUGCAUCCGUCUCAGCAAUUAUUAGACCACGAGAAGGUAAUUUUUUCGUGGGCUUUAAAACGUCGUCGAACUCGACCACAAGCACAACUAUCUAAAUGCUGAAAACUUACUUUGUAGUGGGGUAAUACCCAUCACCGUACCGCAUCACGGUUACAUGCCCAACUCGACAUUCAUCUACAAAAAAUUUGAAAAAGCCACCUAGACAUCAUUUCGAACAGGGCUUGACGUCAUAUUUAUUAACCUAUCUACACUCUUAAAUUUAUCAAAUGUGGGAUUCAUGUGAAAUAUCCCAACAAUAUCCACCUUUCUCUUGAAUACCCAUCACAAGUAUCAUACUAGAGUAUUCACUAUUAAGCAUGUGAUGCCCCCAAAAUAGGUCUACACAAUCUAUUCUGAGUUGCCAAAUACAUGGUACAUCGCACCUAAACGAACACAAUGAUAAGGUAUUCAAUUCUUAAAAAAACAAAUUUAACUUAUAUUCGUUAUCUACCGGAUUUUAUUUCUUUCACACUAAAACGUUUUUUCGGCAAAGGUUAUGAAUGUUGUGCUUACCUCGUCCGUUGGACGUCCACUUAGACAUCAAUUAGAAAUUGGCUCGACGUCAAACCCACUAAACGAACACCACUACAAGAUAUUCAAAUCUAUAUAAUAAGGAAAGUUUUUUACUAUAUUCUUUUUCAGGAUUUUUUUUACUAAUACUACGAUUUUGCCCGUGCCGCUGGCAUUUACUUUUUUCUCAUGUUGUGUUAGGUAUCUUGAGUGCUAACAAUUUUGUACAUAAAUGACAGACACUUUAUUAUUAUGAAUGCUUUGUUGAUCCAUUCUUUGGUGUUUAUUAAUCUCUCUACGUGGGUGUCGGCUCUACGAUUAAUCCAUCUUUCGUGGUAGUUGUUGGUUCCGCAGUCAGUCGGUGGUCCUUACAAAAAUUUGAGAAUUUAUGUAAUCGUAUUGACUUUUAAUUAAUUUACUAUUUUAAGUAAAUUAUUAUCGUAAUUUUAGAUAUCAUUAUUUCAUGCUAAUUUUAUUCGGUGUUCUAUUUGAUAUUUUUACCCAACAUGUCAAAUAGUACUGAAGGUAUUCACUUGGAGUACCAAAAACAAAAUAUAGCUAAUUCAUCAUGCGCUAAAUUAAUUAUCCUUUUUUUUCUUUCGUUAGUUAAUUCAUAUUAAUAUUUUUUAUUUGCAUCUUUUAGUACGCUAAAUUUGGGCUACCAAUCAAUUUAAUUACUUGAAUUUUCCAAGAAUCAGAUGCUUUUAGUACGCUAGAUUUUGGCUACCAAUUAACUUAAUUAGUUGAUUUUUCUAAAACACCCUCUUCACAACGUGUGAAUACCCUUUCUACUACCCGCCCACUUUCCUCUACACAAAGUCAGAACACCCUUCACAAAUACAUUUUGAUCUCUUUCACACUAUUACAUUUUUUCUACAGAGGACACAAAUUAUGUGCUUGCAUCGUCCAUUGGAUGUCCACUAAGACAUCAAAUUGAAAUUGGGUCGACGUCAAGCGCACCUAAACCAACACCACUACAAGGUAAUCAACUAUACAAUAACAACUAUUUUACUAAUAUUCUUUCUUCACCGAAUUUGAUUCGUUUCUGUAAUAACCGUGAAUUUUAAGUCACCAUGUAUGUAUGUACAUUUUUUUUUAAACUUUGUGUUAUAUA
rnacentral:lncRNA from 1 species